rnacentral:rRNA from 1 species
UACGUAGGGGGCUAGCGUUGUCCGGAUUUAUUGGGCGUAAAGAGCUCGUAGGCGGCUCAGUAAGUCAGGUGUGAAAACUCCAGGCUCAACCUGGAGACGCCACUUGAUACUGCUGUGGCUAGAGUCCGGUAGGGGAGCAUGGAAUUCCUGGUGUAGCGGUGAAAUGCGCAGAUAUCAGGAGGAACACCAGUGGCGAAGGCGGUGCUCUGGGCCGGAACUGACGCUGAGGAGCGAAAGCGUGGGGAGCAAACAGG